rnacentral:rRNA from 1 species
CCUACGGGUGGCAGCAGUGAGGAAUAUUGGUCAAUGGCCGAGAGGCUGAACCAGCCAAGUCGCGUGAGGGACGACUGCCCUAUGGGUUGUAAACCUCUUUUAUAAGGGAAUAAUACAUGCUACGUGUAGCAUGAUGCCUGUACUUUAUGAAUAAGCAUCGGCUAACUCCGUGCCAGCAGCCGCGGUAAUACGGAGGAUCCGAGCGUUAUCCGGAUUUAUUGGGUUUAAAGGGUGCGUUGGUGGGUUUUUAAGUUAGGUGUUAAAGCUUGCGGGUUAAACCUUAAAUUGCAAUUGAUACUGGGAGUCUCGAGUACAGACGAGGUAGGCGGAAUAAGUGAAGUAGCGGUGAAAUGCUUAGAUAUAACGUAGAACCCCGAUAGCGAAGGCAGCUUACUAGACUGCGACUGACGCUGAUGCACGAGAGUGUGGGUAGCGAACAGGAUUAGAUACCCUGGUAGUC